CUGAGCCAAUAUUUAGUUUGGUGGCUUCUGGACAAGCUCAAGAUAUGUAUAAAACCAACAAUCAAAAGUAUUCAUGUAUGCCUGCACUAGCUUAAGGAUUCAGACGUCAUUCUUCAUCAGAGGAUCAAAUCAGAAAGAAGAUCAGCCCAUGUGUCUCUCUAUUUUGUGAGAUGACCCAGCACAAGACCUUUACCAGACACAGCAGCCUGAUGAUGAAUCUCCUGGCCUCUGGAACCACGAGCCAAAGCAAACCUCUCCUCAUGCACCCGAGGACAUACUCAGAAACCAGCUCCCUACCCGUUGUAAUCUAAAUGGGAUUAGUAAAACAGCCGUCUAGACAAAAGCAGGGACAUGUUUUCCUGACCUAAGAAUGAAG